GCCAGGUGUGGUGACACACACCUGUAAUUCCAGCAACAUGGGAGGCUGAGGCAGAAGGAUUGAACAAUUUAGUGAGACCCUGUCUCAA
rnacentral:sRNA from 1 species